AUAACCCUAGGAAACAAAAUUAGUUCAUCAUCAUUUUUACAACAACCAUAAUUAAAUCAAGAGAAAAGGUCAUUUCUAUAGCAAAAUAACAAGAAAGAAAUGAAGAGUAAAGAAAUAUCAAAGCCUCUUUUGAUUAUUGAUCCUUGAUUCCUUCGAAUUCUUUUCGUUUCUCUCGUUGGGGAACCUUUUCUUUUCUCUCAAAAAUUGUCGUUCAAUGCCUCCUUGAACCCCCUUCUCUUAGCUGUUGAAAAUACCUAUUUAUAGGCUCCAAAAAACCUUAAAAACUCAUUUCCUGAUUGGCUGUACAAUAAUAAUCCACGUCAGAGUGCUGCAGCCUUGCUCCAAGGGCAUCGCAGUGUUCUUGACUUGUAUAUUUUUUUGCAUGUUUUCCAACUGGUGCCACGACGCUCCUCAUUAGGAGCUGUGGUGCUGAACUCUUGGGUUUUUGUAUGAUUGCCAUGAUGCACCCUUGGCAUUGUGGCCUUGAGAUCUAUAAGACCGAGAUGUUGCCACUUAUGCUGCCUUGGUGCAGAACUGCUGCAGUGCCUCAUCUUUCAACAUGAUUUUCUCCUGCCUCAAGGCUGAUCUGUGUGAAAUGGUAGACAUGAAAGUUGUAGGUCUAUCUCUCAGCUUUUCAAUGGUCCAAGAAUCAUAUUGAUUGGAUCUUUGUAGCUCAGGUUAUGUUUGAAUCACUGCAAUAUGUUUAGCAGAAAUCUGUACUUAGUCUCCAUUGCCUUGUUCACCAACAUUUAACUUUAAGCAUAUGUGAACCUACAAUAUUAAAGACCAAAUCAGCAUUGACUUAAAUUGAGACUUUCAACAAGAAUUUGAACUAAAAUUACUAGAAUUAAAGUAAAUCAACAUGCUUUGAACUAAUUAACUAAAAACCUAAAAACUAUCUAAAAUUGACUCAAAACACAAGGACUUAGCUAUUUUAUCAUUCCAAAAUAUAGCUAAAUAACUCUGUAUAAUAAAGUUAUCACACCCCUAAACUUAACAUUUUGCUAGUCCUCGAGCAAAAGUAAAAUAAAGAAAAUGAAAUAGUAUGGUUGAAAACAUCAACUGAGAGAUCACACCAAUUCACUGAUCAUCCUUAAUUUCCUCAUCAGUUGUCUUGUUUUCGUAACUCAAGCAAAGCAUAAAUAUUGUUUAAGUUUACAUUUCAUUCAAAUUUAAGCUCAUUUUUCAAAUGAAAUUUCGUGUGUGUGUGUGUAAUCUCUUGUAAUGAAUAUCAUGCACUUUAGAUAAGUGUAUGCUAAUGCAAACCUUAAACAAACUUAGAAUUUCAUAAGUUUGCUUUUCACCUCUCUCUCCACUAAUGUAAGCUCACACUUAACAUGGAUCCCUAGGACUUUAUUUGGCUUGUAUUGUACAACUAGGGUCAAGGUAGGAUAUAGGAUAUUCUAUAGCUCAAAUCACAAUAAGCACAUAAUUGUUCUAGGACAUAUUUAGCCUUAUUUUUCUUUCUUUACCAAGUACACCUUCUCCUUUCAUUUCGCUUUUCAUUCAUCAACAAUAUUUUUUUUAUUCUCAAUUCCUACCCCAAAACUUGUUUCUUUCAAUAAUAGUGGGAUGAAUGCUUCACCACAAAUUUUGAAAUAUUUUUUUUUCACCUUUUCAUAAAAAAUUGGAAUAUAUAUUUCUUAAAACAAUGUAUAUGCUUAGGAAUAAGGGGUGCAUAAUUGAAAAAUUAUUUAAAGGCUAAGCUUACUUGUUUAUGGCUGACAAAGAAAAUGAAAAAUUUCUUAGCGCAAAGGGGUACACUAGGGAUAAUAUCUAAUUGGGUUAGCUCAAAAGGCCAAAUCAAUCCAACGAUAGCCUAAAUUAUUUCCUAGUUAAGUGCCUCCUAAGAUUUCACGUCAAGGAAGGAUUAAACAAAUUAUAAAACUCUAAGCAUAGUUUAAGAAUUCACAUUCACAUAAUCAUUCUCUAAAUGCACAUAAUAACUCAAUAUAAGAGAUGAAGUACUCAAUUAUGUAAAUUUCAUCCUAAAAUUUCGUUACACAUAAGAAUUCAACAUAAUACUUCAACUCUAUUCACGCUUACUAAAAGUGACAAGAAUAGCAAGACAACUAGGUUUCAUCAUUGGAUAGGCAAGUUAAUUUCAUGGUGCAUUUACUCUACAUUCAUUUUUCAUGCAUUCCUAACCUAACAUGUGAAGAAAAUAAAUAUGCUAGAUACUAAAAAUAAUAAAGCAUAAAAAGAUAAAAAGUUUGAAUCCCUCCCUCAAACUUAAAGUCAACAUUGUCCUCAAUGUUACUGAAAGUAAAGAAAAAAAGACUCCCCUAAAAUUACGGAUGAAGUCAAUCAUCAUCCUUCUCCUUCGCAGCAUCAUCAUUACCAUCCAGGGUGGGAUCCUUAGGCAGCGUGGUGAAAGUAGCCAUGUCGAUGCUGACAUGCUCGACAUAUGCUUGCAUCAUGUCUUUAGUGGCUUUGAAACACCCAAUUUGGUGGUCCAUGCGGCGCUCAAGCCAAUCCAUUCAUUGAGACAUGGAGAGAUUCUGGGUAUGUCGCUGUGGUUGAGGUGCAGCCAAUGAAUUUCCCCAAUAGCAGUUUUCUCACACAUGUGAAACCUAUGGAUGAUUCCACCACCAUAUGGAAUCUUCGGAUGUGGCAACUCUUUAUUGGGUGACCAAACAACUCUAGCUUGACAACACAAGGCAGUUAUCAAGGAUGGAUACCACAAUCCGUUAGGUGGUGAACGAGCUGACAUGAUAAUGUUCUUGAAGAUUAAUUGCCCAAUGUCAAUAAAUUUUUUGGUCACAAUUGCAUACAAGAGGAUCGCUCGAUCCUUGGUUACAUCGCUCAAGUAUUUAACAAGAAGUAGCUUCAUGGCCACGAAAUGAUACCACACCUUGUAGUCGUUGUCCAUGGCAUUAGCUUUGAAUGAAAUUGCAACACCCUUGUGCACUUGCCAUUCAGUACCCAAAAUGCUAAGGGACCUUAGAACUUCAUCCAAAUUGAUGUCACCGUUCACGAAUUGGUCAUAUUCGUCAUUCUCAAUGUCAAGUGUAUUGUAAAAUUGAUUAAUAGUAUGAGCAUUAAACGGUACCUGAUGUUUUUCAACGAAUGCUCUCUUAUUUUCAUGCUCAGUUGUGUUGGCAUAGAAUUCCUGAACAACAAGUAUUAUUGCUACCUUUGGUUGGGUGCAAAAUUUCUCUCAUUGCCUUGCAUCAAUAAUGUUGUAGAUGCCAAGAUAGAGUCUUGUUCGGACAUCGAUACUACAUUUUGGAAUUAAAACUUUUUGCACUAGGGACUAUGUGUGGUGCUUCUUAGCUUUGGUUGAAAUAAAUUUACUGCAAUUAAGGCUAUUCCACUUCCACUAGCACGUUUCCUUUUCUUUGGUGCCAUGAUGAUUGUCUGAAUGCCCACACAACAAGCAACACAUUUUCGACUGUAACUAGUUAGUAUACAUUACAAUUAAAUGAUCCAUAUAUACAAAAUAAUUUAUCCUAACUAAUUAUUCAACUCCACAAUAAUAAAAGUAACACUCAUUUCUGCAUACAUCCAAUUUAAAUUUUAAGUGUAGAAAAUUAGAUUUAUUUAGUAUACCCAUUAUUCAAAAAUUCUAAUCUAAGCACAAAACUUAAAAAUUGAUGAAAUUCAUACAUUACACUAUCAAAUCUAGUAUAUACCCAUCAAUUCAAAGCAAAACACAUCUUCAAAACACAAAAACAAAUCAUCACAAUAGUUAGAGAAAGAAAGUAGAGCACUUACCGCAGGUUCCUACACUUAGAUGCUUGUAAGAAAGUAAAAAUGCUCUAAAAUCUAUUUUCAAAACUCAAAGUUUGAUGCAAGGAAAUUUGUGUUUUGAAGUGAUAUUGUGGUGGGUAAGUGAAAAAGGAGUGAAAAUUUUCAAGUGCGAUAGUGAAAGAGUGAAAAAUGCUACCUAUGGUUGUAAAAUUGGGAAAAGAGGGAAUAUAUAGGGUAAUGGGCCCGUAAUGCCACCCUUGGGGCACCACAACUCUCCACAAGCCCUACCUUAUAAAAUUUUUGGUUGUGC
rnacentral:lncRNA from 1 species